GGGAACGAGCCCUUCGGUUCGGAAUAACUCAGGGAAACUUGAGCUANUACCGGAUACGCCCUUUUGGGGAAAGGCUUGACUGCCGAAGGAUCGGCCCGCGUCUGAUUAGCUAGUUGGNGAGGUUANGGCUCACCAAGGCGACGAUCAGUAGCUGGUCUGAGAGGAUGAUCAGCCACACUGGGACUGAGACACGGCCCAGACUCCUACGGGAGGCAGCAGUGGGGAAUAUUGGACAAUGGGGGCAACCCUGAUCCAGCCAUGCCGCGUGAGUGAUGACGGCCUUAGGGUUGUAAAGCUCUUUUCUCCGGGACGAUAAUGACGGUACCGGAGGAAUAAGCCCCGGCUAACUUCGUGCCAGCAGCCGCGGUAAUACGAAGGGGGCUAGCGUUGCUCGGAAUCACUGGGCGUAAAGGGCGCGUAGGCGGCUGAUUUAGUCGAGGGUGAAAGCCCGUGGCUCAACCACGGAAUGGCCUUCNAUACUGGUUGGCUUGAGACCGGAAGAGGACAGCGGAACUGCGAGU
rnacentral:rRNA from 1 species